AUAAUAAUUGUUCAUCACAUUGAAUUAUGUAUUUAGAUAGUACCGGUCGGCGAUAUCAAUUUAAAAGAGAUCAGAUGCAUAAAACUAAGCUAAACUAGCCUUUAUUAAUGAUAUAAUAAAUGGUAAGGAUUUCACUAUAGUCUGUCUCUGGAGAGGACAGGCCGCUAUCCGACCAAAUCGAAUCGCUACUGCGCAUCCCCACGCUGCAACACUAUCCAUUUAUCCCCUCCCGGAUCUAACGACAGCGCUGCAACGGCGACCGCAGAAG